UUGGUGCAUUCUAUUCUGG
rnacentral:miRNA from 1 species